CUCACUGUGUCACCCAGGCUGGAGUGGAGUGGCACCAUCACGGCUCACUGCAAUCUCCAACUCCCAGACUCAAGCAAUGGGAGGAAUAAUUUCUAAGGAAGCCUCAAGCAAGAAUGGGUUGCAUCACGCUGUGUCAGUGACUGGAAGUGUGAAGAGUCGGCCUGGCUCCCGGGACACACAGAUAAUUUGCCUAUAGAUAGCAGAGAGAGAGAGACCCUGAUGCAUUUUCAAAUCCUCCCCCAGUGCUGGUCAAAUCCCUUGGACACAGUCAAGGCUCAACCACUGUUUGCUGAGUGAAUACAUGAUGGAGGAAGCUGCUCAUUUUGCAAAGACAAGCUGAGUCUUCACUUUGCUUCUUGGGGUGUAUCUGGCAGCACAGCUGGGCCGAGCUCUUCUGGGUCCCGUCCACAGGUGGACAACCAGGCUUGGUGAUUCUGUUUUGUGGCCAGCUUUGAGAACCCCUGGAUUAUCUUAUCAGGUGAUCACCAGGCUUUAAGAUGAUGGAAAACAGAUAAUAUGGGGAUAGAGAACAGGAUGCCCAACCAAGAAAUAAACAAU